AUUGAACGCUGGCGGCAGGCUUAACACAUGCAAGUCGAGCGGGGUGAUGGUGCUUGCACUAUCACUUAGCGGCGGACGGGUGAGUAAUGCUUAGGAAUCUGCCUAUUAGUGGGGGACAACAUCUCGAAAGGGAUGCUAAUACCGCAUACGUCCUACGGGAGAAAGCAGGGGAUCACUUGUGACCUUGCGCUAAUAGAUGAGCCUAAGUCGGAUUAGCUAGUUGGUGGGGUAAAGGCCUACCAAGGCGACGAUCUGUAGCGGGUCUGAGAGGAUGAUCCGCCAGACUGGGACUGCGACACGGCCCAGACUCCUACGGGAGGCAGCAGUGGGGAAUAUUGGACAAUGGGGGGAACCCUGAUCCAGCCAUGCCGCGUGUGUGAAGAAGGCCUUAUGGUUGUAAAGCACUUUAAGCGAGGAGGAGGCUCUUUUGGUUAAUACCCAGAAUGAGUGGACGUUACUCGCAGAAUAAGCACCGGCUAACUCUGUGCCAGCCGCCGCGGUAA
rnacentral:rRNA from 1 species